rnacentral:rRNA from 1 species
UACGUAGGGUGCAAGCGUUGUUCGGAAUCAUUGGGCGUAAAGAGCGUGUAGGCGGCUUGCCAAGUCGAUUGUGAAAGCCCUCGGCUCAACCGGGGAAGUGCAGUCGAAACUGGUAAGCUAGAGAACGGUAGAGGAAGGUGGAAUUCCAAGUGUAGAGGUGAAAUUCGUAGAUAUUUGGAGGAAUACCUGUGGCGAAGGCGGCCUUCUGGGCCGUUUCUGACGCUGAGACGCGAAAGCGUGGGUAGCAAACAGG